rnacentral:rRNA from 1 species
GACGAACGCUGGCGGCGUGCUUAACACAUGCAAGUCGAGCGGUAAGGCCCUUUCGGGGGUACACGAGCGGCGAACGGGUGAGUAACACGUGGGUGACCUGCCCUCAGCUCUGGGAUAAGCCUGGGAAACUGGGUCUAAUACUGGAUAUGACUCCACGGUGCAUGUCGUGGGGUGGAAAGCCUUGUGCGGCUGAGGAUGGGCCCGCGGCCUAUCAGCUUGUUGGUGGAGNGAUGGCCUACCAAGGCGACGACGGGUAGCCGGCCUGAGAGGGCGACCGGCCACACUGGGACUGAGACACGGCCCAGACUCCUACGGGAGGCAGCAGUGGGGAAUCUUGCGCAAUGGGCGAAAGCCUGACGCAGCGACGCCGCGUGA